UACGUAGGUGGCGAGCGUUAUCCGGAAUUACUGGGCGUAAAGCGCCAGCAGGCGGCCUGCUAAGUCUGACGUGAAAUCUCCUGGCUUAACCGGGAGGGGUCGUUGGAGACUGGGGGGCUUGAGGCGAUGAGAGGGGCAUGGAAUUCCCGGUGUAGUGGUGGAAUGCGUAGAGAUCGGGAGGAACACCAGAGGCGAAAGCGGUGCCCUGGCAUUGGCCUGACGCUGAGAGGCGAAAGCGUGGGGAGCGAACGGG
rnacentral:rRNA from 1 species